rnacentral:rRNA from 1 species
AACGAACGCUGGCGGCAUGCCUAACACAUGCAAGUCGAACGGAAAUUCCGGGUCUACUUGCUCUCGGGUGCGUAACGCGUGGGAACACGGCUUAAUAACCCGAAUUACACCUUGAACGGGGUGCUAAUUCAGGAUAAUGUCCUCUGACCAAAGAUUUAUGGUAUUUGGGGGGGCCGGCGUUGGAAUAGCUAGUUGGUAGGGUAAGAGCCUAUCAGGGCGACGCUCCUUAGCUGGUUAGUGAGGAUGAGCAGCGACAAUGGGUCGUAGGCGCGGCGGAGACUACUACGAGAGGAAGCAGUGGGGAAUAUUGGAGAAGGGGCGAAGGGCUGAUGCAGCAAGGCCGCGUGAGUGAUGAAGGUCUUAGGGUAGAGAAGCUCUUUUAGCCGGGAGGAUAAUGACGGUACCGGGAGAAUAAGCACCGGCUAACUCCGUG